CGGCUCUGUAACCCGGCUCCAGGCAUUUCUUAGGUUUCCCAUCCCCGCCCUCCAAGCUCCCGGGAGCGCCUGCUCCGCUGCCCGCAGACAGGCGUCGUUCAAACCUCAGCUCUGCUCGGUCUGCAUUCAUGGACCCCAGAUCUUCACCCUAGGAUUUCCAUCUCAGCAUUUCACGUUCCCGGGGAAAAAGGGAGAGGGAGAAUGAGAGAUAACCGUGAGCGCCUAAGCAAGGGAUUCCUUGCAGCUCCAUUACGGGAGAUGCCCUUUUGCUCUAACUCCCUGGCUGGGCAUGGUGGCUCACACCUGUAAUCCUAGCACUUUGGGAGGCCAAGAUGGGUGGAUAACCUGAGGUCAGGGG
rnacentral:lncRNA from 1 species